rnacentral:rRNA from 1 species
UACGUAGGGGGCGAGCGUUGUCCGGAUUUAUUGGGCGUAAAGAGCGUGUAGGCGGUUCGGUAAGUCUGUCGUGAAAUCCUGAGGCUCAACCUCGGGCGUGCGAUGGAUACUGCCGGGCUAGAGGAUGGUAGAGGCGAGUGGAAUUCCCGGUGUAGCGGUGAAAUGCGCAGAUAUCGGGAGGAACACCAGCAGCGAAGGCGGCUCGCUGGGCCAUUCCUGACGCUGAGACGCGAAAGCGUGGGGAGCGAACAGG